CUAAAAGAUGGCUAAGGCUCCAUUCUGAUCACUGAGUGAUCGAGUCUUCUAGAACAUCCUAAUGUAACAGCACAACCCAGACCGGAAAAAACGUGUCAGAAAUCUUCUUGGAUUUCAAUGUCUUGAAGAGCAACAGGCAUUUAAUUGUGCCAGCAGCAAGUCAGCCACCACAUACACAUCUAUUGUAUUUACUCCUUCAGGGAUACAACAUAUGUCAAAGAACUUUUAGCACCCUGUGAAGUCUCUCCAACAGAACCAACAGAACAGCUAUGAACGGUCAACAAAGUUUCGAUUUUCAUGUAUGGACGUAAAAGUUAGGAUCACUUUGUACAGCAAACUACUGCUGCUCAGAAGUUUUCAUUUGGAUGUUUACACUUCAAAGUUUCAGAGAGUAUUAAUCAGUAGUUUUCAUUUGAAUAGUCACACAACGGGGUUUUAUCCUCAGAACUCAAAGGUAUAACUACUUUGCAAAAUAGAAUGAAGAAAAAGCCUCAUGAAAAUACUUCUUAGUAGCUCUCAUUUAGGCGGACACUUAUUAGAGUUUUUAAUUGUCACUUAUUAGAGUUAUGUCCUCAGACUAAAAAAGAUCUUGCCUUGCAGAUCAUGAUUAGCAGUACCAAAAGAACGUUUUGUUCCAUCUUUUGACACAAGCUCCCAAAGGCAGAGAGGAUAUAAUUUUUUAACACUCUUUAGUAAGACUUUGAGUACUGACUGAGGUUUAAAAUAAAAUUGGAAAGGGACCAAUGUAAAUCACACAGAAACGAAAUUAGGGAAAAACCCAGAGACCAUAUUAACAAAAAAAGCAUUACAGUUGUACUUCGAGAUGACAAUGCAAUGUAUUGGGAUUCUCCCAUUGUAAAGGGGUUUCUUUUAUUCGAAAGGAAAGGAAAAAUAGCACUUAGCUCAUGCAAAAAUACCCCAACGCUUGAAGAUUUCAUACUCACAACUUUAAUAAAUAGUAACAGAGAUAUCACCAGGCAAUCAAACGUACUCACAGAGAUACACAGACCAUUUCGGUGGCGGUGCUACACCAAGCAAAAAGAUCAUGGAAAAUGCAUCGAAUGAAAAAUUAGCACAGAGUUCAGGAGCCAGCGAAGGUCGGAAAUCAACGCCUUAUCAGCGAAUAGUGAUCGCCUGCCCUGAAAAUCACAUUAUCGUGGUGAAGAGAUUUUCGAACGGAGGUAAGGAGAUACUCACGCUGAGUGUUAAGGAUACAAUGACUCUACACUCAAUGGUUUGUUUGUUUUUGUUACAGAAGUUAGAGUCGAAGGAGGACGACUGGUCGCUGUUGAAGACAAGAAAGGCCGCUAGAUGAGAGGUGUCACUUUUUAUGGAGUACUACAUGAAGACAACUUCAUUGGAAAUGGAAAACAUGGCGAUUAUGAGUAGAAGAGAAAAGCAUUUGAUAUUUGCUCCCCUGAUCAAUAACACUGCUGACAAAUAAAAUACAUUCCACAGAGACAUAGAGUAAGACAUCCCAGGGAAUAUCUAAACACUACACAGCUGUAACAUGAACAGAAAUAAGGAAAGAUGUGACUUCUUUAAGAUUUGACUUUUGAGUGAGACCAAGAAAGGAGAACUGUUUGCAGACUUGACACGUACUGACUGUGAAAACCAACACAGUAGGGAGCAUUUCAUUGAUGUACAUGGACAUCUUUGAGACAAACAUUCAGAAUCAAUGUUGUUAAAGAUUGGCAAAAAAAAAUAAGAUAGGCAAAAGAAAAAGGAACUAACUUUGUCAGACACACUGUUCAACACCAUUUGCCAUCAGUGAGACUUUUUCUUCACUUUGCACAAAACCUCAUUCCUGAGUUCAAAUGACCAUAGCUUGCAUGCUGCUCGGAGUAACUACAAAACAUCACUGACCCCUCAAAAAUAACUCACCAGUGACUGAACAUUAUCAUUGAGCCUGUACUUGUCCAAUAGUUACACAUGUGAAUCACACCAAUUAGCUUGCAUUUUCCCAUCUUCAAGCCACUUUUAUGGCAGAGUGUUGUGCCGCUCAAGCAACAAGCACCUGACCCAAAGUAAAGUACUAACAUACAACUUUACUACUGUAUUUACCCAUAUGCUACUGAUAACAAAGAGCUUAAAGUAACAUUCUAAGUAAUUUUUUAUCUUUUAUUGCAUUAAAAAUAUAUUUUUCUAUAUAUGUUGUGAUUACUCCUUGCAUAAGUCUAACAUAAAUGUCAUUCAAUAAACACAAAGACUAAAUAACAAUUACUUUAAUAUAUAUAUUACAUUACAUGAACAAUUCUUGAAAAGAAAAAGCUAGACUAAAUCAGCUACAUGUAUGUAUUCAAAAGCUCCAGAUAGUGCAAUAAUAAUAAUAAUAUCAGCAGGAUAGUCUGUUAUUUGUAUUAAAAUUACUGCAAUACAAUUCUAAUCAUUUAGUAUGAUUGAAUACAAACAUUCAUGUAUCAAUUCAUGAGUAAAAACUUGUAUUAAGCAGCUA